rnacentral:rRNA from 1 species
UACGAAGGGGGCUAGCGUUGCCCGGAAUCACUGGGCGUAAAGCGCACGUAGGCGGCUUUCUAAGUCAGGGGUGAAAUCCUGGAGCUCAACUCCAGAACUGCCUUUGAUACUGGAGAGCUUGAGUCCGGGAGAGGUGAGUGGAACUCCGAGUGUAGAGGUGAAAUUCGUAGAUAUUCGGAAGAACACCAGUGGCGAAGGCGGCUCACUGGCCCGGUACUGACGCUGAUGUGCGAAAGCGUGGGGAGCGAACAGG